GACGAACGCUGGCGGCGUGCUUAACACAUGCAAGUCGAACGGAAAGGCCCUGCUUUUGUGGGGUGCUCGAGUGGCGAACGGGUGAGUAACACGUGAGUAACCUGCCCUUGACUUUGGGAUAACUUCAGGAAACUGGGGCUAAUACCGGAUAGGAGCUCCUGCUGCAUGGUGGGGGUUGGAAAGUUUCGGCGGUUGGGGAUGGACUCGCGGCUUAUCAGCUUGUUGGUGGGGUAGUGGCUUACCAAGGCUUUGACGGGUAGCCGGCCUGAGAGGGUGACCGGCCUCAUUGGGACUGGGAUACGGCCCCGACUCCUACGGGAGGCAGCAGGGGGGAAUAUUGCACAAUGGGCGGAAGCCUGAUGCAGCAACGCCGCGUGCGGGAUGACGGCCUUCGGGUUGUAAACCGCUUUCGCCUGUGACGAAGCGUGAGUGACGGUAAUGGGUAAAGAAGCACCGGCUAACUACGUG
rnacentral:rRNA from 1 species